rnacentral:rRNA from 1 species
UGGGGAAUUUUGCACAAUGGGGGAAACCCUGAUGCAGCGACGCCGCGUGAGCGAAGAAGGUUUUCGAAUCGUAAAGCUCUGUCCUAUGAGAAGAUAAUGACGGUAUCAUAGGAGGAAGCCCCGGCUAAAAACGUGCCAGCAGCCGCGGUAAUACGUAUGGGGCGAGCGUUGUCCGGAAUUAUUGGGCGUAAAGGGUACGUAGGCGGUCUAUUAAGUCAGGUGUGAAAGCGUGAGGCUUAACCUCAUUAAGCACUUGAAACUGAUAGACUUGAGUGAAGGAGAGGAAAGUGGAAUUCCUAGUGUAGCGGUGAAAUGCGUAGAUAUUAGGAGGAAUACCGGUGGCGAAGGCGACUUUCUGGACUUUUACUGACGCUCAGGUACGAAAGCGUGGGGAGCAAACAGG